UUCGUUUUCACGGAGUUAUUGAUACAAGAAGCGGUUAUCGCUUGUUCAGGAGCCGUCACAAAUGGUACUAUUUAAUCCUGUAAUUGGUAGUACCAGUAUAAUACCUUGAUCGCUACCGUUAUGCGUGGGUGGUGAAGGAACAAAAAUGAAAUUUUAUAGUAUUGAGUUGUUUCUCGGAUUCAUCAUCUUGUCAUGUCAAGUGCACCGAUACGAUAGCAUUUCACCGGAUAGAAUAUAUAUAUCAAGGCGAGAAGCAUACACGGAUCCUGGCCAUGAGAUUAUAGAACUACUCGGAAGCAGGAGGGAUGGAAAUUAUGGACAUCGAAUUCAUCACGGACUUACGGUCCCCUAUGUUGAGAGAGCUCAAUAUCUUCGAUCUCAAGACGACUCAUUGCUAGCUAAGAAACUGUAUCUGACUAACGACGGAGAAAUAAUUGAAAUACCUCCACAUAUUGGUCCUAAAGUAAAUUUUGCUGACAUUGAUAAAUUGGUGCUAGAUCGACUAAAAGAAGAGGACCGAAAUUUCCUAGAAGCAAAUCUGACACCAGCUGAAAGAGAGGCUCUUCUGAUCAAAGUGCAAACUGAAGGGGAGAAUUUUUCCCUGAAUGAAAACCGAUUUGGAGGUUACCUAAAAAACCUUGCCUCUGAUGUCGGUGCUGGCGCAGCCGGUUUUAUCGGCAAAAAGUUAGCCGGUCCUCUUGGUGGUCAGCUAGGAGUAGCCAUGGGAAGUUAUCUUGUAUUCGCAAUGACCGAAUUGUUGGGAAACAUCAAAGGGAAAAUUCGAGGAACUUCAGUCACAAGUAACGGAACCACUACGAGUGUUAGGACCGUUACAAUGGAUGACCGAAGAAGAAUAAACAGAUACAUUUAAAUUUCUAUAUUUUUAAUAAAAAUAAAGAACUGGUA